rnacentral:misc_RNA from 1 species
GAUGAAGAACGUAGCGAAAUGCGAUACGUAAUGUGAAUUGCAGAUUUCAGUGAAUCAUCGAAUCUUUGAACGCACAUUGCGCCCGCCAGUAUUCUGGCGGGCAUGCCUGUUCGAGCGUCAUUUCAACCAUCAAGCGCCUGCGCUUGUGUUGGGGCCCUGCGGCUGCCGCAGGCUCUCAAACCCAGUGGCGGGCUCGUCGUCGUACCGAGUGCAGUAAAUUUACCACGCUCAGGGCACGCGACGGGUGACCGGCCGUAAAACCCCCAUCUUCUCAAGGUUGACCUCGGAUCAGGUAGGAAUACCCGCUGAACUUAAGCAUAUCAAUAAGCGGAGGA